AACAUGAGGAAACGAAGAGAAAGUAUGAGGGUAAGGAGGGAUUCUGGCUGAGGUGAACUAAAAUGAUUCUUCCUGAAGGCAGGCCAGGGUGAUCAUGUGGAGAAUGUACAACCCAAUUGAAUAUCAAGGUCAUCAGAUAACCAGGAUGGGAGUUGCUAGCUGAACUGAUUGAGCAACCAGCACUCUUGACAAAAUUAGAAAAUGUAGAGAGCAAAGGAGAAGCCUCAAGGUCCGGACAUAGUUUAGAAGAGGAUUGAGAGGUGCCUGACUAGAGUUUGGGCAAAGGGAAAAUCUUUGUCAAGGGCCUGGCUUCAAUUAGGAUCCUGUCACAACCCCUAAAGGGGCAGCAGCAGAGAUUAGGAGAGCACACCAGCAUUCUUGGAAGGUGGUGAAAAUUCCUAUGUAAUUGCAUGUUUUCUCAAUGAAUUAUCAGUGAAAUAUGACAGGAGUUGUUGGUGGUUUUCGGAGUGCUCAUGUAGGUACAGGAGAGAGAAGAUACAGUUGUGGAGGUUACCCAAAGCUUGUCCAUCACUGGGAUGUUGCCAGAAGGGUAUGGAGGAAGGAGAAAGGAGCAGAGGAGGUGUGUUGAGUGGGAGAGUGUAUGGUUAUAUUCUGGGUUACGAAGAGUCUGGUGGAUGGCGAGUAUGAGGUGUGGUGGGUGAACUGGAGGCCUCCAUGAGGUUUAAGGCAGGAUGGAUGAUGGUGUUGGGGGCAAGUAAUGGACAUCAUAGAGCUGCAUGGUCUUGCCUGAAGCCCAGGGCAAGACUGUGAGUGGACUGUGAUGGCGAGACGAACAUCCAUGAAGUAGAGCUCAGAUGUGACGUGUGGGCACUGAGGUCUCCAGAAAGGACCAAAGGGAUGAUGACUGAGACAGACACUGAGUGUAUUACGUGAUAAGCGUGCUCACAGAGUGCGGUGCAUGAGGGGAUUGGUACAGGUGUCCAGCGAGGAGCGGUGGAGGAGGCUGGGACAGUCGGGCAGCAAGUCCUGGACAUCACAGGUCCCAUCCUCUAGGGCUACCGCGAAGUAAACUGGCAGUCUGACGCCGAAGUGCAGACUGGCAACGACGUCACUCGGCACCGACGCGCAGGCCCAGAACCCUCCAAUCAGCGUGUAGUCCCGCCCGCACGCUCGCGUUUUUCCUGUGGCGCGGGGACUUGGCUGCUGUUGCUAUGGUUCCGAGGGUGGGACCAGGGAAGGCUUCCGCGCAGAGGACGGGUCGCCGGAGGGCCAGCGGCCGGUACCGAGCCAGCAUCUGGUCGGAGCUUUCAUCCUGCUGGACGUCCCUAGCCGACAUCUUCGAGCUCUCUGCAGAAAAGCUGCGGAAAAGAAGGCUUUUCCUCUGGGAAACCAACUGUGCUGGCCCCUUGAGCCACUGGUUCAGGGCGUGGAUGGAGCGACAGGAUGGACGACUAGACGCCUCUCCCAAAACUUAAGGGAAAAGUCCUCCAGGCAACAGGGAUUUGCACUGUGUCAGCCACUGCUCCCGACCUGGACUCAAGGAGACUCAGGAUGAUUGGACCUGGAAACUUCAGACAAGAUUAAGAAUCCCCUGGGACUGGAGUCUGAGACAGGCCUACCCCACUGAGCAGAAGGAGGGCCUAAUGACUCCCCAAGAAAUCUACUUUUUGCUUUCCUGAGUUCAACCAGUGGUAUUAAGUGGAACAAAAAGAACAACAACAACAAAAAAUACUAAAAGGAAUAAAAUGGUUUUGUGAGGUUGCCCCAAGGGACUGGAGCUGACCACAGAUAGUUGCUCUAGCUGUGUUCUACACAGGAGUGGUAAGUCUAUUAGAAAAAAUCUUUUGUUUCUUAUAGUAAUCUGUGUUUCACUGAUUUCCAGGAUGCAUGCUAAGGUUACAGUCCAGGGCACAUGGAUUUUGGAGUUACUCCAUCAUAAUCUGAUAAAUCCUAUUGCUUCAGCCAUCUGAUCUCAGUAUCAAUAGUCCAAUAGCCUCAAUUUUGAUGGGUGUGUUCUCCUAGAUUUUGACAAACAGCCACUGCUGAUAAUGAUUUACUAAUUACAAAUUAAUACACUAAUUACCACCUGCUGGACAUGUACCACUGCGGUAGACCCACACCAACUUAGCACAAGAAGUGCACCCAAAAGUGCACAUCUGGUUGGGGUUGCGAAUCCUGGGUUGUUAAGGCCUCGGGCAGGUUUCAGUGUUGGGUACCUGGUUCUCCUGUUAUUGAUAGCUGUGGCUGGCCCCUGCAUACACAAUGCUGUUUUAUGAAAUCUCCAAUUGCCAAAGUCAAGCUCCAACUACUCUUUAUGUAGUACUGGCCACUUAUGGGACCAGCCCCUAGAAGAUGAAGAUUUUAGAGUAUUCUAAAAGUGCCCUAAAGAAGAGGAGGGGAUAUUAAAGACUCCUUCCCCCUUGUUAUCAAAGGGUCAGGUGGGUCUAAAAAAAGCAAUAAUGACUAGGCCAUAAAGGCUAGUCCCAUUCCUAAGAUAAGAUAGUUGCAUGCCUUCUGAAAUUGCCUUUAAGUUAUAAUUCCUGUAUCUUAAAACAAUCUUACCUUAAAGUUGUGAUUUGUUAAUCCCUGAGGGCCCAAGAUAACAGUGUGCUCCUGGAAACUGCCUUGGUAUAUUCAGGGUAUAAGAGUAUGGAAAGACGGCUGGCGCUGCGGCUCAAUAGGCUAAUCUUCCACCUAGUGGCGCCGGCACACUGGGUUCUAGUCCCGGUCAGGGCGCCGGAUUCUUUCCCGGUUGCCCCUCUUCCAGGCCAGCUCUCUGCUGUGGCCUGGGAAGGCAGUGGAGGAUGGCCCAAGUGCUUGGGCCCUGCACCCCAUGGGAGACCAGGAUAAGUACCUGGCUCCUGUCAUCAGAUCAACGCGGUGUUCCGGUCGCAGCGCGCCAGCCAUGGUGGCCAUUGGAGCGCGAACCAAUGGCAAAAGGAAGACCUUUCUCUCUGUCUCUCUCUCUCACUAUCCACUCUGCCUGUCCAAAAAAAAAAAAAAAGUAUGGAAAGGCAAAGGAUUGGGGCUUGACUUUUAGUCUAGUCAAGCCUGCAUACAUAAAUAAACUGUGCCUUCCCUCCUCCUGAAGCAUUAAGUGCCUUUUGGUUUCUGUGGACUUUGUCCCUAACACACAGACAAUGAUCACCAUUCAUCCUUUUGACAGGGGAGCUGUGAUGUAUGUUUCAGUCUUGGGGAGUACCUUGCAUAAACUAGGUGCUCAAUAAAAAUUGUCAAAUAAAAUACUAUUAAUGUUUCUGGUAUUGAUGUAUUAUGUUUAUAUAUAAUUGACAUUUGCAUAACGUGAGUAUAAUAUCUCAACAGUUUUCUACAUUUUCUUUUUCAUUUUCAUUUUGUUUUCAGUAUUUCCCUAUAUUCUAACAAAGCAAUUUGAUGGUCUGUUGCCACUUCACUCUGCUAAGUGAAUCAAAUUUAGCUGAUUGGUAACAGAGCCCUGGUCUUUUUAGGUAUAAAGCGCUUUCCUUCAUUCCAUAAUAAUCUGACUGUGGUUUAAGUGAAUAAGAGAAAGCAAAAUGUCCUGGGUAGCUGUGCUCUGUCUUUUAUUGUUGCUCCACAAUUUGAUGGGAGUCAGUAGAUUGGUUGCCUUUCCACAAAGACCCUGCUCUGGAUGACGUCAAUUCAUAGAACUGAGAUUCUGGAAGGCGUCCUGCUAUUAUUUAGUCCAGUGGGAAAAAGCUAGGCAGGUGAGCUUGCUGCAUUGGAUUACUGACUUUGGCCAUGUAAGGAGGUCUGGGGGGUAUAAAGAAGAAAGCAGUAGAUGUGAACUUAGGGUCCCAAUGAGCAACACACUAUUGGAAUGAAGACAAGGAGACCAAUAUGCGUAAAGCAAGCUGGAUCUUACUGCAACGGCUUUGGUCUCCCCAAGUCCAGCUAAUACUUCUCUGAUGAUGGUUUCCAUGCUUCAUAUAUCCUAAAAGAAUUUACAUAGUUAAUGCAGAAAACAUUUCCUUUUAAACAGAAUUGUACAUAGAUCAUCUGGAUUGCUUUAUACCGGCAACUUGUUUAUCAUAUAGACAUGGUUGGAUGUGGACCUGUAGUUCUUCACUAAUCUCUUCCUGUAGGGUCUCCUGGAGGCUUUGGCUAGAUCUCAGGAGAACUUCUCUUCUAGUGCCAGCUCCACAAACCUUACUUAUUUUAUGCUCUUCGUUUGAGCUGGCUGAUUCCUCCAUUUUAAGAGGAAGGGUCAGGUUAAAUUAGUGGGUGGCACGGGGAGGUGGAGUCAGGAAGCAGCAUGGCUAAGGAGCCCCGUAUCCAGUACAGCCUCUACUCUUUCAGUUCUGAAUCAGAAUUUUAUUUUGGGUGAAUGGGAUUUUUUUUUCACUUUAACAGAGAGUUUGAAAUCCCAGUCUCUCAGAAAUAAAAGGAAGAUUGGUGAGAAAUGAAGUCAUACCACUGAAUAGGUUGGGCCAUCCUUAGAAGUACCAUGCACUUAGAACUAAUCUCUAAGUAGAUAGCUGGGGAGAAUGUUUGAUCAGUAAUGGGGAGUCUGCAGGAGUUGUAAUGUCAACACUGCAAUCUGACUAUUUCUUGAGAGAGGACUUGUGGGGCUGAAGAUGUAAUCCUAAUAACUGUUAAACCAUUUCUAAGGGAAGAUCAGUGAGGGCAAGUAAUCUGCUCCAGUGUAAUGGCAACAGUCCCAUGAAGUAACUCCUAGGUCAUAAUUCCAGUUGGUAUAGCAACAGUAGUUGCCUAGCAGCACAUAAGAGGAGUUUUCCUCUGCAAGUGAACCUCCACAUCACUUGAUAACAGCAGUGAUCAGACACUGGGAGCCAUAUCUGAAAUGAUAUCGUCUGAAAGGGGUUAAAUUACAGAACCUGUAAUUGUAAUUUCAGGGGAAGAAGAUAUGACCCUAAUUAGGUAAA